ensembl:snoRNA SNORD58 Small nucleolar RNA SNORD58
CUGCAAUAAUGGCACUUCUUAAGAUACAUUUGAAAUCAUCAUGAAAACAACUACUCUCUGAGUAGC